GAGGGUAGAGCUCAGUGGUAGAGGGUGUGCUUAGCAUGCAUGAGGUCCUGGGUUCAAUCCCCAGUGCCUCCU
rnacentral:tRNA from 1 species